rnacentral:rRNA from 1 species
CCUGUCGGCGCUACCAUGCAGUCGAGCGGAUGAAGGGAGCUUGCUCCUGGAUUCGCGGCGGACGGGUGAGUAAUGCCUAGGAAUCUGCCUGGUAGUGGGGGAUAACGUCCGGAAACGGGCGCUAAUACCGCAUACGUCCUGAGGGAGAAAGUGGGGGAUCUUCGGACCUCACGCUAUCAGAUGAGCCUAGGUCGGAUUAGCUAGUUGGUGGGGUAAAGGCCUACCAAGGCGACGAUCCGUAACUGGUCUGAGAGGAUGAUCAGUCACACUGGAACUGAGACACGGUCCAGACUCCUACGGGAGGCAGCAGUGGGGAAUAUUGGACAAUGGGCGAAAGCCUGAUCCAGCCAUGCCGCGUGUGUGAAGAAGGUCUUCGGAUUGUAAAGCACUUUAAGUUGGGAGGAAGGGCAGUAAGUUAAUACCUUGCUGUUUUGACGUUACCAACAGAAUAAGCACCGGCUAACUUCGUGCCAGCAGCCGCGGUAAUACGAAGGGUGCAAGCGUUAUUCGGAAUUACUGAGCGUAAAGCGCGCGUCGGUGGUUCGUCAGUUGCAUGUCAAAUCUUUGGAUUCAACCCGGGAAUGCAUCCACAACUACGAAUCUAUUUAUUACACUAUAUUCUCCUAUAUUACCUACUCUCUUUCACUUUUUCCUACUUCCCUCCUCUCUUUUCUAUUCAAAUCCCUUUUUAUUUAACUCCUAUCUAUUUAUCAUUAUACAACACCUAAUUUUUCAUCUACCUACUGCU